rnacentral:pre_miRNA from 1 species
AGUGGGAUAGCUGGGUCAAAUGGUGGUUCCAUUCAAAGUUUUUUGAGGAAUCUCCAUACUGCUUCCCAAAGUGGUUGUACCAAUUUGCAGUCCCACCAGCAAU